GAAAUGCGAUAAGUAAUGUGAAUUGCAGAAUUCAGUGAAUCAUCGAAUCUUUGAACGCACAUUGCGCCCGGCAGCAAUCUGCCGGGCAUGCCUGUCCGAGCGUCAUUUCUGCCCUCGAGCGCGGUUCGGCCCCUAGCGGGCCGGCCGCCGCCCGGUGUUGGGGCGCUGCGGGCCCUCGUGCCCGCAGGCCCUGAAAUGAAGUGGCGGUCCCGCCGCGGCGCCCCCUGCGUAGUAGUAAAGCACCUCGCAUCGGGUCCCGGCGGAGGCCAGCCGUCGAACCUCUCUUUUGAUGGUUUGACCUCGGAUCAGGUAGGGUUACGCGCUGAAGAUAAGC
rnacentral:misc_RNA from 1 species